rnacentral:rRNA from 1 species
GAUCAUGGCCAGGAUGAACGCUGGCGGCGUGCCUAACACAUGCAAGUCGAGCGAUCUCUUCGGAGAGAGCGGCGGACGGGUGAGUAACGCGUGGGUAACCUGCCCUGUACACACGGAUAACGUACCGAAAGGUAUGCUAAUACGGGAUAAUAUAUAAGAGUCGCAUGACUUUUAUAUCAAAGAUUUUUCGGUACAGGAUGGACCCGCGUCUGAUUAGCUUGUUGGCGGGGUAACGGCCCACCAAGGCGACG